rnacentral:rRNA from 1 species
AGCCAGACUCCUACGGGAGGCAGCAGUGGGGAAUAUUGCACAAUGGGGGAAACCCUGAUGCAGCGACGCCGCGUGAGUGAAGAAGUAUUUCGGUAUGUAAAGCUCUAUCAGCAGGGAAGAAAAUGACGGUACCUGACUAAGAAGCCCCGGCUAACUACGUGCCAGCAGCCGCGGUAAUACGUAGGGGGCAAGCGUUAUCCGGAUUUACUGGGUGUAAAGGGAGCGUAGACGGCAUGGCAAGUCAGAUGUGAAAGCCCGGGGCUCAACCCCGGGACUGCAUUUGAAACUGUCAGGCUGGAGUGCAGGAGAGGUAAGUGGAAUUCCUAGUGUAGCGGUGAAAUGCGUAGAUAUUAGGAGGAACACCAGUGGCGAAGGCGGCUUACUGGACUGUAAUUGACGUUGAGGCUCGAAAGCGUGGGGAGCAAACAGGAUUAGAUACCCCCGUAACC